rnacentral:tRNA from 1 species
AUGUAGCUCAGUGAUAGAGUGCUUGCCUAGUAUGUAUGAGGUCCUGGGUUCAAUCCCCAGCAU